UACGAAGGGGGCUAGCGUUGUUCGGAUUUACUGGGCGUAAAGCGCACGUAGGCGGAUCGUUAAGUCAGGGGUGAAAUCCUGGAGCUCAACUCCAGAACUGCCUUUGAUACUGGCGAUCUUGAGUCCGGAAGAGGUGAGUGGAACUCCUAGUGUAGAGGUGGAAUUCGUAGAUAUUAGGAAGAACACCAGUGGCGAAGGCGGCUCACUGGUCCGGUACUGACGCUGAGGUGCGAAAAGCCAGGGGAGCAAAGCGGGG
rnacentral:rRNA from 1 species